rnacentral:rRNA from 1 species
UACGGAGGGUGCAAGCGUUAUCCGGAUUCACUGGGUUUAAAGGGUGCGUAGGUGGGCAGGUAAGUCAGUGGUGAAAUCUCUGGGCUUAACCCGGAAACUGCCGUUGAUACUAUCUGUCUUGAAUAUAGUGGAGGUGAGCGGAAUAUGUCAUGUAGCGGUGAAAUGCUUAGAUAUGACAUAGAACACCAAUUGCGAAGGCAGCUCGCUACACUAUUAUUGACACUGAGGCACGAAAGCGUGGGGAUCAAACAGG